rnacentral:rRNA from 1 species
UACGAAGGGGGGCUAGCGUUGCUCGGAAUCACUGGGCGUAAAGGGUGCGUAGGCGGGUUUUUAAGUCAGAGGUGAAAUCCUGGAGCUCAACUCCAGGACUGCCUUUGAUACUGGGAAUCUUGAGUAUGGAAGAGGUGAGUGGAACUGCGAGUGUAGAGGUGAAAAUUCGUAGAUAUUCGGAAGAACACCAGUGGCGAAGGCGACACACUGGGCCAUUACUGACGCUGAGGCGCGAAAGCGUGGGGAGCAAACAGG